UUUGUAGAAUGAGUUCAACGUCAGUCU
rnacentral:piRNA from 1 species